rnacentral:rRNA from 1 species
GACGAACGCUGGCGGCGUGCUUAACACAUGCAAGUCGAGCGGAGCGGCGAACGGGUGAGUAACGCGUGAGUAACUGCCCCCCUCUCUGGGAUAACAGUUGGAAACGGCUGCUAAUACCGGAUAGUUGGGGAUGACUCUCGUCUUAUCAGCUUGUUGGUGGGGUAGUGGCCUACCAAGGCGACGACGGGUAGCCGGCCUGGGAGGGGGCCCGGCAACAUUGGGCUGAGAUACGGGCCAAACGCCAACGGGGGGCAGCAGGGGGGAAGAUUGCACAAUGGGGGAAACCCUGAUGCAGCAGCGCCGCGGGCGGGAUGACGGCCUUCGGGUUGUAAACCGCUUUCAGCCAUGACGCGGUAGUUGCAGAAGAAGCACCGGCUAACUACGUGCCAGCAGCCGCGGUAAUUC